CAGCAGUCGCCGCGGUAAUACGUAGGGUGCGAGCGUUAAUCGGAAUUACUGGGCGUAAAGCGUGCGCAGGCGGUUUUGUAAGACAGGCGUGAAAUCCCCGGGCUCAACCUGGGAAUGGCGCUUGUGACUGCAAAGCUAGAGUGCGGCAGAGGGGGAUGGAAUUCCGCGUGUAGCAGUGAAAUGCGUAGAUAUGCGGAGGAACACCGAUGGCGAAGGCAAUCCCCUGGGCCUGCACUGACGCUCAUGCACGAAAGCGUGGGGAGCAAACAGGAUUAGAUACCCCUGUAGUCCCUGUCUCUUAUAC
rnacentral:rRNA from 1 species